rnacentral:rRNA from 1 species
UACAGGGGGGGCAAGCGUUGUUCGGAAUUACUGGGCGUAAAGGGUCUGUAGGUGGCCAACUAAGUCAGACGUGAAAUCCCUCAGCUUAACUGGGGAACUGCGUUUGAUACUGGAUGGCUCGAGUGUGGGAGAGGAAUGCGGAAUUCCAGGUGUAGCGGUGAAAUGCGUAGAUAUCUGGAGGAACACCUAUGGCGAAGGCAGCUCGCUGGGACGUCACUGACGCUGAGACGCGAAAGCGUGGGGGAGCAAACAGG